rnacentral:lncRNA from 1 species
AAAGGGCUGAGAGAUUUGGGCUAGAUCUACGUUUUUACUUUGAAUUUUUUUUUACACUUUUCGCAAAAAAAACUACGGAUCUAGAUAUCCUUUUCUCUAUAAAGUCCAAAUCCGGCCUCAAAAUUUCCAAAAUCCGAACACAAAAGCCUAGAUCUACAAAUCUUUAUCCGUAACAAACUUUUUCACACUUUUUCUACACUACAUGCGCGCGCGAAAAUGAAGAAAAAGAGGAGAGAAAUGCGUUACCUCUGUCGUAGAACGGAGAAAAAUCUUCGGAAAACUUCGAAUCUCCCUUUAUCCCCUCUCCGUGCGCGUGCGUUUUCACUCCGUUUGUGGUUGUUUUUGCUCAAAAAUCCGGUACGUUUUGGUGUUGAUGUGAUGAUUCGCGGUGGUUUUGAGUGAAUCCGGUUCGGAUUUGUUGAUUUUGUAGUGAUUGGAGUUGAUUCUGAGCAGAUCCGGUUUUGAUCUGUUGAUUUUGGUGAUGAUGUGUUCUUGGUGUUCUUCCUCUUUUUUCUGAGAUUUUUCUGUUUUGAUUCUGUUAUGGAUGAGAGAGAGAAAAAGAUUCUGUUUGAGACUGAUUGUGAUUGAUUCUGAUUUUUUCUGACUGAUUGUGAUGGAUCUGACACAUUUACUAUUUAUGGCCUGCCAUGUGUAUUAGAGACCCAAUGGAAAAUUGACACCUGGACUGUUUUGGACUUAAGGACUAAUCUGCAAAAAAGUUAAUAUGAGGACUAAUCUGCAAUAAAAAAAAAGACUAAAAAAAAUGCAAUUAAAAAAAUAAAAUUGGACUAAAAAGUAAAUUUGACGCAACGUAAAGCGAAACCAAAAAUAAAAUUAACAAAAGGAC